UCUAUUAGAACUAAUUAAUAGUAAAAUCUGCUCAAUGAUAUUAAAUAGCCGCUAUUAUUGUGCUAAGGUAGCAUAAUCAUUUGUCUUUUAAUUAAAGACUAGAAUAAAAGAUUAAACAUUUUAAUUAAUUUAUCAAAAUUAAAUAUUAAAUUUAUUUUAAAUGUAAAAAAACAUUUAUAUAUUAGGAAGACGACAAGACCCUAUUAAACUUUACUAAAGUUUAACUGGGGCAGUUAAUUAAUUAUUAUUUUAAUUAUAUUACAAAAUAAAUCAGACCCUAUAAAAUAGAUUAAAUGACCAAGUUACUAUAGGGAUAACAGUGUAAUAUUAAUUUAAAGAUCUUAUUAAAAUAAAAGAUUACAACCUCGAUGUUGAAUUAAUAACCUAUAUUAUAAAUAAUAAAAGGAA
rnacentral:rRNA from 1 species